AGGCUUCAGAUUGAUUCUGCAGAAUCACCAACCACACUCUUCUAUGUCUCUAAACUAAAACUCUGCUCAGUGGUGAAUGACACUCAUGUAUCCCGGAUAGUAAUGAAGUUCAUGGUAUCUAGGAAUGCUGGUGCCUUCAUUCUGACGACCUUCUUACCCUCUAUGAUCCUAGGCAUCAUUGGCUGCUUCACUCACACUCUCGAUGAAAAGGCUUUCAGUGACCGGAUCAUGGUGACACUUACGUGCCUAAUAGUGAUAGCAUCACUAUUUUCAACAACCACCUCCGUAACUCCAAACUCAGCAUCUCCGAAGUUGGUGGACAUCUUUUUCUUCUUUUACAUUGCUCGUCUGUUUAUGAUCUUCAUUAUCCACUCCAUUCUAGUCAUUCUAAACAAAAAAAGGAAAAAACUUGAAGAAAGCAUCCAACAAAAUCAUGAAUUUCUUAAAUUCAAGAGAAAGUUGUCACUUUCAUAUGCAAAGACAAAGAAUCUCAAAGGUUCUAUGAAAGGAGAGGUCCAGCUGCCUCUUCGGAGUGCUUGGGAAGAUGACGUGGAAAUGGCACUUAAAACUGACAGUUCUGUGAAACUUUCAGCCAUGAACCUAGAUAAAUUAGGUCUAGUUCUCGGUGUAGUAAUAGAUACUGUCUUUCUUUUUUAUUUUUCUGCUAUCAUCAUCAGUGAGCGUUACAAUCUGUUUAGACGGUUUGAAUCAGACACUGAGCACUGUCCACUGAGUAGUGUACAUUGAUACUAGUACGUAGUAGCAGAAUUCAAUUCAGGUAUUUAAUAACCCUGAGGUUUAAACAAAUUUUUCCAAGAACCAAUUUUCAGCAAAACAACCCCAAAACAAUAUUUACAUUUCAAGGAAUAUACAUGUAUAUUUAUGAAACUACUAUACAGGCAGUCCCCGGGUUACGACGGGGGUUCCGUUCUUGAGACGCGUUGUAAGCCGAAAAUCAUCGUAAGCCAGAACAUCGCCAAAAAUCCUAAGAAAACCUUACUUUUAAGGCUUUGAGUGCAUAAAAACUAUGUAAACUGCAUUCUUAUUGUAUUUUUCAUAAAAAUUUCAAAUAUUGAUUAUUUUGCAUUUUUGGAGUCAUAUUUCUUCUGGCAGAUCAGCGUUGCAGGCGCCGUAACCCUGGAACGUGUCGUAAACCUGGAAAUAAUUUCUGAUAAAUAUAAUUGAAAAGCGUUGUAUGGAACGUCGUAAGCCAGUGACUGCCGGUAAUGGCAAAAUAAAAACUAAUUGUAACCUUCAAAAACAGAACAUAACAAACAGAUGAAGUCAAAUAAUAACAUUUUGUAUGAAUAUUUUUGCAGAAAAUUCUAUAAAGUUUCAUAUGAGGGGAGAGUGAUGACAAGAAAGGUAUAAAAAUACGAUACUUCUGAUCUACAAGAUAGAUGAAAAUUUUGCUUUGUUUGAAUAUUCAAAGUACAUAAUAUCAUACUUGUAGUUACAAUAUGUUAUUUCUGAGAAACAGAAUGAAGUGAAUGUCUUACAAAUGAAAUAAGUUUUACAAAGUCCAAGGAGUUAAAUUUGUUUCUCUGAUGAACACAUACUUUAUCAUGGAUCCUGCCUUAGGGAACCUUUCAUUAAUGAUUACAUGAACAAUGAAAAUGGACACAUUACACUGCGAGUGAAAUUAUACAUGAGAGAUGAAAAAUAAAUUUCAGAGAUGUCCAAUUAAAUGUGUACAGAAGAUAUUGUGAAGGCCCUAUAGGUACGUAAGGAGUGUAAGAGAUGGAGGAAAAGAAAUAUUUUACAAUUCAAAAGUUUUUACAAAUGAGUGAAAACAAGAGAAGGUUCCUUGAAUGUGGAGGGAGCAAGAGCUUACAUAUUUUAAAACCAAAAAAGUUAGAUUUUGCUAAUCCAGCUCCUUAAUCCAGGUAUUAACCCAAUAUGGUUUUUUUAAAGUUGAGGAUAAGUACAUUAUAAAGAUUAUAUACUAUUUCUGAAAAGAUAUGAAAGGAUGCAAGAAAUACAUAAGGGUACUAGAGAAAUUUUUAAAGCAUUGUACUCUGCUUUAGAUUUAUUUCACAUCAGGCAAAAACUUAUUACAGUUUUUUAAGUUACUCUGAUAGACAAAUAAAGAUACUAGUUCACUAAUUGCAGUUUGAUUCAGAGAACAUCCAGUACUGUAUAAGAACGUGGCCCAAUUCCUCCAACAUGUUCUGAUUCAAAACUAGCUGUCACCUCAGUGCUUAGUUAUGACUGUUCUAUUGACAGCCUCCAGAUUAGCAAGUCUAGUUUCUUCCUUUGCAUGUUCAAGAUGAGGAAUUUCCCCCAAAUCUUAAUUCCCUCCAUUUAAUCCUAUAAGCAUCACUCUCAAAAUAUUCCUUUAUCUUCCUUAUGGACACUUACAGAUGCUCUUUGCUUUACAUUUCAUCUUAGGAUUUUCUGACUGUAAGAUAGUCGAGAUUAUAGAGGAAAAGUCAUUAAUUAAAAGAUUUACAUGACUUUAACAAAUACAAAAUGCUCUUGUUUGCUAUACAGAAAUAUGGAAUGAAAUAGAGAAAACUACUGAGUGCGUGAAUUACACUUCAUAACUUGAUUUGUUACCAUGUUAAUAGUACUACUUUCCAGGAACGUGUGGAUAAAUGAUUUUAUUAGACAUAUUUACAUACAAUUAACUGUUCAAAUGAAAAAAUUUUGUUUUUUAUGAUUAGCCCAUGAAAGCAAUAACAACUGAAAUUUCGCAAUUAGUCAAAGAGACGUGGUGCUGCAUUAUUUUGGAGGUUGACAUUUGUGGCUAAUAUAUGCAUAACCUCCAUUAUAUAAGAAUUUUAUUUUUGAUUUCUAACACUAACUUUGCUUACAAUUUGGUAUAUAUUUCACAUCAUAUUUACCUUUUUAAUGAAAUACAGUACUAAAAAGCAAUAAAGAAGAAUAUUGUCAUAAAUAAGUAAGAUUUUAAGGAUAUUACUGCAGUAAAAACAGACUGAAUGUUUCAUUAAAAGAAAAGUAAUUUCACCUCGUUCUUGAACAAGGUUUCUAGACUCUUAAAGGGUUGGACCAAAGGAUCUGUUACCCAAACAGCGCUAAAAAGUAAAACAGGGAACAUAGUCUACAACAGAAGGGAUGCAAAUAUCAAGGUGAAUAUACCUUAGUAAAUCUUCAGAGAUAUUUGAAAAAAUACUUUAGUAAAUCUUAAGGGAUAUUUGAAAAACUCUUUAGAAGUAGGAAUUUUUAAGGUACUUAACUGCAUACCCUUUGUUUACCUAUAUGCAAUACACAGACCUACUUUAAAGUUAUUUUUUUUUCCAAGCAGAUUAUCAACAGCAGAAAUACCACUUGACAGGUUUGCUUUCAGAGGCCUAAGCAUAAAGAGGAAAAGCCAGCUCCUAAAAUAAUAAUAAUAAUAAUAAUAAUAAUAAUAAUAAUAAUAAUAAUAAUAAUAAUAAUAAUAAUAAUAAGGAUGUAGACCCUUUUUUUUUCUUUCUUUCUUUUAUUAUUAUUAUUAAACCAAUCCUGAGUUAAUGAAAUGGAGUCUUCUCAGUUUUCAUUAUAAUUCUUUUGUGCUCCAUGUCAAUAUUGGACAACAAUUGGCCAAUGUUCAUAUUUUGGCAAAGAAGGACAGUGGCAAUAUAAUAAACAUCUUUCUCUAUAUGUACGUACAAGAGAAGGUAGUGAAACACGGGGGAUAAACCCAUAGAGUUCAACAGCAUGUUACAUAAUGGGAUAUUUUAUACCAGUACAUACUAUUGUAUUUCAGAAAUUCCUUGUUGUCGACAUUACAACCUGGUCAUUUUCAUGAUGGGCGAGAUAAGUCUGGAGAAAAGUGGUGUGGGUGGUGGUAUACAUCGAGGAUCAGCAUAGUGGGCAAGAGCAGCGCUGAAUUCUCAUCUGAAGUAUGGCACUGGCAUAACAUCUCCUGGUAACUGCUGUUAAACUCUAUGGGGCUUAUACUUUGUGUUUCAGUAUUGUACUAUAGAAAAUAGACUGAUUUAAUAUGCUUCUAAUGUAUUUUUCUACCAAAAUAUGUAUAUUGGCCAUUAUUGCCCAAUACUGAUAUGGAAGACAAAAGAAUUAUAAGGAAGACAGAAGACUCAACAUAAAAUUAAUUCAUUCUAUUUAACCUUAAUAAUAAUAACUUAGCUUACCAGACCUUGAAUUAUGAGAUUUUUAAUUAGCUACAAUAUUGUGAAGGUUUCCUGCUAGGCAAACAGUUUAGAAGUUAUGUAUUUUGCAGAUAAAUCUUUAAAAGUGAAUAGUAAGUGUAAAGCUUUAGCUUAGGCUAGGAAUGAUAUGGGAUUACUGUAGGCUACUGAAUAUCCUGAAUCUUUGAGUGCAUACUAUGUUAUAUGGUCUACAUGUAAUUUGACAAACUUUGCUGCUUAUUAUAAGCUUUCUUCCAUGAAGCAUCUGAUAAGCUGAGGGGCUACUGUAAUAAUAAAAAUGAUAAUGUCACGUAUACAAUUUUUUAUUUACAUGAAGAUAUCAGCUAAGUACAAUAAAUACCACAUACAUUCAUCUAACUUGUAAACUUUUUCUUACAUACCAACUCACCUAAAAUAUCAAAUAAAUUGCUGCACUUGAGGUUCUAACUUAUCAACAUAAAGAUUACUUUUUUUUUACUGAUAUAUACUCACAACAAAACUUUAAAUACUAUGUAAUUACUUCAAAUAGGCUUUCACUUCAAACAAGUCUCAUUUAAUUCAACACCAACUAAUUUCCUUAAAAACUAAAUUCACUACUAUUUGCAAAACAGGGCAAGUUUUGAUAGAAUGGAUGAUUUCCUAAGGAUAUUAUUUAUCAAAAAAUAAUUUUCCACAAUUUGAAAUUCUUGAUUUCAAGAAAGAAUGGAUUACUAAAAAAGGUUUUGUGUAUCAGUAACAAUCCUAGUAAAUACUUGCUUUCAAUGGUUUUCCCUUUCAAAAUAAUGUCCUAACAUUCAAAACCUCAGCUAUUCAUGAGUUUACCAAAAUAGCUACAAUAAAUGCUACAUAUUUAUCACUUACAUCAUACUGAAAUUUCCAUUUAUUAAAUUACCAGUAAAAUAAUACUUAAAAUAUCUAUUUAGCCUGAUGUUAUAUUUCAACAGUUUCAAGUAUGAAAUGUAUUUCUUACUGUACCUCUUCCUACUGCUACUCCGUGAAGACAUCCUCUGUGCGUUGACCUCCAAUCAUUUUUAGUAUGAUAGUAUUGAAAGCAAAAACAUUAUCUAGGGUCUUCUUCAGUUCACUCAUUGUCCGAUCAAAACUCAUAAUGCCCGAGUCCUAAAAUGUAAGAAGUGGAAUGAACUACAAAGAGAAAUAAAGAAUAAACUGCUUACUCUACGAACUAGUAAAUGUAUAGGAUGUUAACUUCACAUUCAUAACAACACUACUAUCCAUUUCAGGGACAGUGGGUCAUUAUUUUUCUAAAAUAUCUUUCAAACUAAUUAUUUGAUCAAGAUGGUGUUUUGACAUAGUGUACAAGACACCUCCCGCUAAGUUUUGGUAAUAAAGUGCUUUGUAAAAUGUGUUAGUUAAGGUAUUUACUCUUGACUUACAUAGUGUUGUCAAGCAUCGCCACCCUUACAUUUGAAUGUCCUGUAUUCCAUCCUGUCCCUCCCUACCUCCCUCCCUCUCCCUUCCCCUCCUCAUCCCUCCCUCAGCCCACUUUCAUGGCCUCCCCAUCUCUAACCACCCUUUCCCGUCUAUAAUAUUAUAUUGAGUAUGUAAUAUUGGAUGUUAUAAAUGUGUCGAAUUUUGAAGAUUCUGUGUUCAUUUAAUCAUUGUUAUUGUAUUUCCUUAAGUUAUAUGAAUGGGAGUAAGCUUUACAGCAUAUGAGCUUCACCAUAUUCACCCAGUAUAAUAUACCUACUAUCAUGAUCUCGACUUAAAUUCUUUACCUCGUUUGCCCCUCGUAUUGAUGUGUUGACUACGAGCAGGUAAACUAUGGUAACCAAAAUUA